UACAGAGGGGGCAAGCGUUAUUCGGAAUUAUUGGGCGUAAAGGGCGCGUAGGCGGCUUUUCAAGUGACGGGUGAAAUCCCUCGGCUUAACCGAGGAACUGCCUGUCAGACUGGAAGGCUUGAGACCGGGAGAGGUGAGUGGAAUUCCCAGUGUAGCGGUGAAAUGCGUAGAUAUUGGGAGGAACACCUGAGGUGAAGACGGGUUGCUGGGCUGACACUGACGCUGAGGCGCGAAAGCUAGGGUAGCAAACGGG
rnacentral:rRNA from 1 species